rnacentral:rRNA from 1 species
UACAGAGGUCUCAAGCGUUGUUCGGAUUCAUUGGGCGUAAAGGGUGUGUAGGUGGCGCGCUAAGUCAGGUGUGAAAUUUCGGAGCUUAACUCCGAAACUGCAUUUGAUACUGGCGUGCUUGAGGACUGGAGAGGAGACUGGAAUUCAUGGUGUAGCAGUGAAAUGCGUAGAGAUCAUGAGGAAGACCAGUGGCGAAGGCGGGUCUCUGGACAGUUCCUGACGCUGAGGCACGAAGGUCAGGGGAGCAAACGGG